GGGUAACCUGCCUGUAAGACUGGGAUAACUCCGGGAAACCGGGGCUAAUACCGGAUGCUUGAUUGAACCGCAUGGUUCAAUCAUAAAAGGCGGCUUCGGCUGCCGUUUACAGAUGGACCCGCGGCGCAUUAGCUAGUUGGUGAGGUAACGGCUCACCAAGGCGACGAUGCGUAGCCGACCUGAGAGGGUGAUCGGCCACACUGGGACUGAGACACGGCCCAGACUCCUACGGGAGGCAGCAGUAGGGAAUCUUCCGCAAUGGACGAAAGUCUGACGGAGCAACGCCGCGUGAGUGAUGAAGGUUUUCGGAUCGUAAAGCUCUGUUGUUAGGGAAGAACAAGUACCGUUCGAAUAGGGCGGUACCUUGACGGUACCUAACCAGAAAGCCACGGCUAACUACGUGCCAGCAGCCGCGGUAAUACGUAGGUGGCAAGCGUUGUCCGGAAUUAUUGGGCGUAAAGCGCGCGCAGGCGGUUUCUUAAGUCUGAUGUGAAAGCCCCCGGCUCAACCGGGGAGGGUCAUUGGAAACUGGGGAACUUGAGUGCAGAAGAGGAGAGUGGAAUUCCACGUGUAGCGGUGAAAUGCGUAGAGAUGUGGAGGAACACCAGUGGCGAAGGCGACUCUCUGGUCUGUAACUGACGCUGAGGCGCGAAAGCGUGGGGAGCGAACAGGAUUAGAUACCCUGGUAGUCCACGCCGUA
rnacentral:rRNA from 1 species